rnacentral:rRNA from 1 species
AUUGAACGCUGGCGGCAGGCCUAACACAUGCAAGUCGAGCGAGCGGCGGACGGGUGAGGAAUGUUUGGGGAACUGCCCGAUGGAGGGGGAUAACUCCUGGAAACGGUAGCUAAUACCGCAGGCCCUCAGAUGUGCCCAGAUGGGAUUAGCUUGUAGGUGAGGUAACGGCUCACCUAGGCGACGAUCCCUAGCUGGUGUGAGAGGAUGACCAGCCACAGUGGAAAUUAGACACGGCCCAGACUCCUACGGGAGGCCGCAGAGGGGCAUACUGGCCACUGGGCUGAAGCCUGAUACAGCCAUGCCGCGUGUAUGAAGAAUGCCCUCGUGUUGUACAGUACUUUCAGUGGGGAGGCGGUAACCGCAGAAGAAGCACUGGCUAACUCCGUGCCAGCAGCCGCGGGAACUC